GGCAAACGGGUGAGUAACACGUGGGUGACCUGCCUUCGAGUGGGGGAUAACGUCCCGAAAGGGACGCUAAUACCGCAUGACAUCCUGCCUUUAGACAGGUGGAGAUCAAAGCUGGGGAUCGCAAGACCUGGCACUUGAAGAGGGGCCCGCGCCUGAUUAGCUAGUUGGUGGGGUAAUGGCUCACCAAGGCAACGAUCAGUAUCCGGCCUGAGAGGGCGGACGGACACACUGGGACUGAGACACGGCCCAGACUCCUACGGGAGGCAGCAGUGGGGAAUUGUUCGCAAUGGGCGCAAGCCUGACGACGCAACGCCGCGUGGAGGAUGAAGAUCUUCGGGUCGUAAACUCCUGUCGAGCGGGAAGAACACCUUCUGGGCGAAUACCCCCGAGGGCUGACGGUACCGCUAAAGGAAGCCCCGGCUAACUCCGUGCCAGCAGCCGCGGUAAUACGGGGGGGGCAAGCGUUGUUCGGAAUUACUGGGCGUAAAGGGCUCGUAGGCGGCCAACUAAGUCAGACGUGAAAUCCCCAGGCUCAACCUGGGAACUGCGUCUGAUACUGAUUGGCUUGAAUCCGGGAGAGGGAUGCAGAAUUCCAGGUGUAGCGGUGAAAUGCGUAGAUAUCUGGAGGAAUACCGGUGGCGAAGGCGGCAUCCUGGACCGGCAUUGACGCUGAGGAGCGAAAGCCAGGGGAGCAAACGGGAUUAGAUACCCCGGUAGUCC
rnacentral:rRNA from 1 species